rnacentral:rRNA from 1 species
ACGCUGGCGGCAGGCCUAACACAUGCAAGUCGAGCGGUAGAGAGAAGCUUGCUUCUCUUGAGAGCGGCGGACGGGUGAGUAAUGCCUAGGAAUCUGCCUGGUAGUGGGGGAUAACGUCCGGAAACGGACGCUAAUACCGCAUACGUCCUACGGGAGAAAGCAGGGGACCUUCGGGCCUUGCGCUAUCAGAUGAGCCUAGGUCGGAUUAGCUAGUCGGUGGGGUAAUGGCUCACCAAGGCGACGAUCCGUAACUGGUCUGAGAGGAUGAUCAGUCACACUGGAACUGAGACACGGUCCAGACUCCUACGGGAGGCAGCAGUGGGGAAUAUUGGACAAUGGGCGAAAGCCUGAUCCAGCCAUGCCGCGUGUGUGAAGAAGGUCUUCGGAUUGUAAAGCACUUUAAGUUGGGAGGAAGGGCAGUAAAUUAAUACUUUGCUGUUUUGACGUUACCGACAGAAUAAGCACCGGCUAACUCUGUGCCAGCAGCCGCGGUAAUACAGAGGGUGCAAGCGUUAAUCGGAAUUACUGGGCGUAAAGCGCGCGUAGGUGGUUCGUUAAGUUGGAUGUGAAAUCCCCGGGCUCAACCUGGGAACUGCAUUCAAAACUGACGAGCUAGAGUAUGGUAGAGGGUGGUGGAAUUUCCUGUGUAGCGGUGAAAUGCGUAGAUAUAGGAAGGAACACCAGUGGCGAAGGGGACCA